rnacentral:rRNA from 1 species
CCCGUAGCAAUACGGGAGUGGCAGACGGGUGAGUAACGCGUGGGAACGUGCCCUUCGGUUCGGAAUAACUCAGGGAAACUUGAGCUAAUACCGGAUACGUCCGUAAGGAGAAAGAUUUAUCGCCGAAGGAUCGGCCCGCGUCGGAUUAGCUAGUUGGUGGGGUAAUGGCCCACCAAGGCGACGAUCCGUAGCUGGUCUGAGAGGAUGAUCAGCCACACUGGGACUGAGACACGGCCCAGACUCCUACGGGAGGCAGCAGUGGGGAAUAUUGGACAAUGGGCGCAAGCCUGAUCCAGCCAUGCCGCGUGAGUGAAGAAGGCCUUAGGGUUGUAAAGCUCUUUCAGCGGGGAAGAUAAUGACGGUACCCGCAGAAGAAGCCCCGGCUAACUUCGUGCCAGCAGCCGCGGUAAUACGAAGGGGGCUAGCGUUGUUCGGAUUUACUGGGCGUAAAGCGCGCGUAGGCGGAUCACUAAGUCAGGGGUGAAAUCCCGAGGCUUAACCUCGGAACUGCCUUUGAUACUGGUGAUCUGGAGAUCGGGAGAGGUUGGUGGAAUUCCGAGUGUAGAGGUGAAAUUCGUAGAUAUUCGGA